GAACGCUAGCGACAGGCUUAACACAUGCAAGUCGAGGGGCAGCGGUGGUGAAGGCUUGCCUUUACCAGCCGGCGACCGGCGCACGGGUGAGUAACACGUAUGCAACCUGCCUGCCACAGCCGGAUAAUCGGGAGAAAUUCCGUCUAAUACGGCAUAAUGCAUCGACGGGACAUCCUGUUGGUGCCAAAGGUUGAUUCCGGUGGCGGAUGGGCAUGCGUCGCAUUAGUUAGUUGGCGGUGUAACGGACCACCAAGACGACGAUGCGUAGGGGUUCUGAGAGGAAGGUCCCCCACACUGGUACUGAGACACGGACCAGACUCCUACGGGAGGCAGCAGUGAGGAAUAUUGGUCAAUGGGCGGGAGCCUGAACCAGCCAAGUCGCGUGAGGGAUGACGGUCCUAUGGGUUGUAAACCUCUUUUGCCGGGGAGCAAAGUGCCGCACGUGUGCGGUUUGGAGAGUACCCGGAGAAAAAGCAUCGGCUAACUCCGUGCCAGCAGCCGCGGUAAUACGGAGGACGCGAGCGUUAUCCGGAUUUAUUGGGUUUAAAGGGUGCGUAGGCGGACGCUUAAGUCAGCGGUAAAAUUGCGGGGCUCAACCUCGUCGAGCCGUUGAAACUGGGUGCCUUGAGUGGGCGAGAAGUACGCGGAAUGCGUGGUGUAGCGGUGAGAUGCAUAGAUAUCACGCAGAACUCCGAUUGCGAAGGCAGCGUACCGGCGCCCUACUGACGCUGAAGCACGAAGGCGUGGGUAUCGAACAGGAUUAGAUACCCUGGUAGUCCACGCAGUAAACGAUAAAUGCUAGUUGUCCGGGGCGAUUGAGUUCUGGGUGACACAGCGAAAGCGUUAAGCAUUCCACCUGGGGAGUACGCCGGCAACGGUGAAACUCAAAGGAAUUGACGGGGGCCCGCACAAGCGGAGGAACAUGUGGUUUAAUUCGAUGAUACGCGAGGAACCUUACCCGGGCUCAAACGCAGGAGGGAUGUUUUUGAAAGGAGGCAGCCAGCAAUGGUCUCCUGCGAGGUGCUGCAUGGUUGUCGUCAGCUCGUGCCGUGAGGUGUCGGCUUAAGUGCCAUAACGAGCGCAACCCCUACCUACAGUUGCCAUCGCGUGAUGGCGGGCACUCUGUGGGGACUGCCUGCGCAAGCAGUGAGGAAGGCGGGGAUGACGUCAAAUCAGCACGGCCCUUACGUCCGGGGCGACACACGUGUUACAAUGGCAGGUACAGCGGGAAGCCACCCGGCGACGGGGCGCGGAACCCGAAAACCUGUCUCAGUUCGGAUUGGAGUCUGCAACCCGACUCCAUGAAGCUGGAUUCGCUAGUAAUCGCGCAUCAGCCACGGCGCGGUGAAUACGUUCCCGGGCCUUGUACACACCGCCCGUCAAGCCAUGGAAGCCGGGGGUGCCUGAAGUGCGUGACCGCAAGGAGCGCCCUAGGGUAAAACCGGUGACU
rnacentral:rRNA from 1 species